AGAGAGCACAGGCCGGAGCCUGGAGCUGGGGAGCAGAGACAGAGCACAGGCCGGAGCCCGGAACUGGGGAGCAAGGAAAGAGCACGGGCUGGAGCCCAGACCGGGGAGCAGAGAAAGGAAUGAAAGUGCUCCAGCUAAGUUUGUGGAUGACCGGUUAAAAUCCUAGAAUUCCUGCAAUGUGGAACGAAGCCAUUCAGCACAUCAAGUCUGCACUGACCCUCUGAAGAACAUCCUACCCAGACUCAAUCCCCAUAUCCCUGGAACGAUACAUUUCCCUUGGCCACCGAGCCUACAUAUCCUUAGAUUCUGUGGGGCAAUUUAGCAUGGCCAAUUCACCCAACCUGUGCAUUUAUGGAUUGGCUAGGAACAGUGUAGAGGAGCUUUAUUAUCAGUUUAAAUGUAAAAGUUUACUGUUAAUUUAGUAAAGUGCUCAGUGUCACUCAUUAUCUGCAUUGAUUUACCUUCUUAAUUUGAAGCGUAAGUAAAUACCUUCCAUUUGAGAUAAGAAACAGAAUAUCCAGUGGGGUUUGGUUCUACUUGUCAAUGUUCAAAGGAGAAUUCUCAUGACUGUUCUGACGUUACACCACCUUCGUUGUACAUUCUAUGUAAACAUUCUCUAUGUGCUAUUGCUACUCUUUUAAUAUCCAUUCAUUUCCUGAAGCCCCAUUUUUUGAUGAUUCCUUUGACGUUCGUACAACUGCCUUUACCCUCCAAGUUUGUUAUGUCCAGUCUUAUGACAAUCAAAGCACAUUAAUUUCUUUAUGCCAUUUUUUUGUUUCCAACCUUUCUCUUUUCUUACUUUGACAUCAUUCUGCCUGUUCAGUAAAAAAAUACUUUGUUCAUCUA